rnacentral:rRNA from 1 species
GCUUACGGCCCACACCUCCAUGAGCACGCCCGAUCUCGUUCUGAUCUCCGGAAGCUAAGCAGGGUCGGGCACGGUUAGUACUGGAUGGGGAGACCGCCUGGGAAUACCAGGUCGCUGUAAGCC